GCCGGUCUGUCGCUAGCCAAUAGGCAAGAGGAAAGUCCGGGCAACACAGAGCACCAUACUUCUUAACGGGAAGCAGUCCGCAAGGGUUGAGUAGCGUAACAGAAAAUAACCGCCGGAGUAUUUCGGUAAGGGUGAAAAGGCGAGGUAAGAGCUCACCGAUUCCAUAGCAAUAUGGGAUGCCGUACGCCUUAUGGGUUGUAAGGUCAUGUAUAUCGGCGCCGUAGGAUGGCUCGUCCGAUGCCGAGGGGUAGACCGCUAGAGCUUACCGGUGACGGUAAGCCGAGAUAAAUGACAGGCACCUUCUCUUCUUGCUCACAAGACCAGAAGGAACAGAACCCGGCUUACAGGCAGGCUGU
rnacentral:RNase_P_RNA from 1 species